AGGAUGAACGCUAGCGGCAGGCCUAAUACAUGCAAGUCGAACGGUUUCCAGCAAUGGAGAUAGUGGCGCACGGGUGCGUAACGCGUAACCAACCUACCCGAAUCUGGGGGAUAGCCCGCCGAAAGGCGGAUUAAUACCGCAUAAGACUAUGAGCCGGCAUCGGAUGGUAGUUAAAGAUUUAUUGGAUUCGGAUGGGGUUGCGUGCCAUUAGCUAGUUGGGGGGGUAACGGCCCACCAAGGCGACGAUGGCUAGGGGAGCUGAGAGGCUGGUCCCCCACACGGGCACUGAGAUACGGGCCCGACUCCUACGGGAGGCAGCAGUAGGGAAUAUUGGGCAAUGGAGGAGACUCUGACCCAGCCAUGCCGCGUGCCGGAUGAAGGCCUUCUGGGUCGUAAACGGCUUUUUUCCGGGAAGAACCGGUUCCUUGCGAGGGGCUCUGACGUACCGGA
rnacentral:rRNA from 1 species